rnacentral:rRNA from 1 species
UACGUAGGUGGCGAGCGUUGUCCGGAUUUACUGGGCGUAAAGGGAGCGUAGGCGGACUUUUAAGUGAAAUGUGAAAUACCCGGGCUCAACUUGGGUGCUGCAUUUCAAACUGGAAGUCUAGAGUGCAGGAGAGGAGAAUGGAAUUCCUAGUGUAGCGGUGAAAUGCGUAGAGACUAGGAAGAACACCAGUGGCGAAGGCGAUUCUCUGGACUGUAACUGACGCUGAGGCUCGAAAGCGUGGGGAGCAAACAGGAUUAGAUACCCGGGUAGUCCCU